GGCCUAAAACAUGCAAGUCGAACGAUUGUAGCAAUACAGUAGUGGCGCACGGGUGAGUAACAUGUGGGAAUAUGCCUUUUGGUACGGAACAACUUUUGGAAACGAAAGCUAAUACCGUAUGGUCCCUUCGGGGUAAAGAUUUAUCGCCAAAAGAGUAGCCCCCACUGGAUUAGCUAGUUGGUAAGGUAAUGGCUUACCAAGGCGACGAUCCAUAGCUGGUCUUAGAGGACGAUCAGCCACACUGGGACUGAGACACGGCCCAGACUCCUACGGGAGGCAGCAGUUAGGAAUAUUGGACAAUGGGCGCAAGCCUGAUCCAGCCAUGCCGCGUGAGUGAUGAAGGCCUUCGGGUUGUAAAGCUC
rnacentral:rRNA from 1 species